AGUUACAGUUCUCACCUGGUUUCCCACUGAUGCUAAGCAGGGUUGAGCCUGGCCAGCACCUGGAUGGGAGACCUCCUGGGGAAAACUAAGGUUGUUGCUG
rnacentral:rRNA from 1 species